UGACAUGAGUAGCGUUAAAGGGGGUGAAAAGCCCCCUCGCCGAAAGCGCAAGGUUUCCUACGCAACGUUCAUCGGCGUAGGGUGAGUCGGCCCCUAAGGCGAGGCAGAGAUGCGUAGCUGAUGGGAAACAGGUUAAUAUUCCUGUACCGAUCUAUAGUGCGAUGUGGGGACGGAGAAGGUUAGCUCAGCCAACUGUUGGAUAUGUUGGUCCAAGCAUGUAGGCGUGCUCUUUAGGCAAAUCCGGAGAGCUUAGCUGAGGUGUGAUAACGAGUCUGCUUGCAGACGAAGUGAGUGAUACCCUGCUUCCAGGAAAAGCCACUAAGCUUCAGCUAUAGAUUGACCGUACCGCAAACCGACACUGGUGCGCGAGAUGAGUAUUCUAAGGCGCUUGAGAGAACUCUGGAGAAGGAACUCGGCAAAUUGACACCGUAACUUCGGAAGAAGGUGUGCCUUUAGUAGGUGAACCAUUUACUUGGGGAGCCCAAUGAGGUCGCAGAGAAUCGGUGGCUGCAACUGUUUGAUAAAAACACAGCACUCUGCAAAGACGAAAGUCGACGUAUAGGGUGUGACGCCUGCCCGGUGCUGGAAGAUUAAUUGAUGGGGUGCAAGCUCUUGAUCGAAGUCCCAGUAAACGGCGGCCGUAACAAUAACGGUCCUAAGGUAGCGAAAUUCCUUGUCGGGUAAGUUCCGACCUGCACGAAUGGCGUAAUGAUGGCCACACUGUCUCCUCCAGAGACUCAGCGAAGUUGAAAUGUUUGUGAUGAUGCAAUCUCCCCGCGGAAAGACGGAAAGACCCCAUGAACCUUUACUGUAGCUUUACAUUGGACUUUGAACAGAUCUGUGUAAGAUAGGUGGGAGGCUUUGAAGCCAGGACGCUAGUUCUGGUGGAGCCAACGUUGAAAUACCACCCUGGUGUGUUUGAGGUUCUAACCUUGGCCCGUUAUCCGGGUUGGGGACAGUGUAUGGUGGGCAGUUUGACUGGGGCGGUCUCCUCCCAAAGUGUAACGGAGGAGUUCGAAGGUACGCUAGAUACGGUCGGAAAUCGUGUUGAUAGUGCAUUGGCAUAAGCGUGCUUGACUGCGAGACUGACAAGUCGAGCAGGUACGAAAGUAGGACAAAGUGAUCCGGUGGUUCUGUAUGGAAGGGCCAUCGCUCAACGGAUAAAAGGUACUCUGGGGAUAACAGGCUGAUACCGCCCAAGAGUUCAUAUCGACGGCGGUGUUUGGCACCUCGAUGUCGGCUCAUCUCAUCCUGGGGCUGUAGCCGGUCCCAAGGGUAUGGCUGUUCGCCAUUUAAAGAGGUACGUGAGCUGGGUUUAAAACGUCGUGAGACAGUUUGGUCCCUAUCUUCCGUGGGCGCUGCAAGAUUGAGAGAGCCUGCUCCUAGUAC
rnacentral:rRNA from 1 species